AAUCCCACUCAUAUUAAUAAACAUUUUACUAUUAUUAUGAACCAUAAUUGUUGUGUUAAUCCAAUGUCUAACUAGAAACUUUAAAUAAAAUGAAAAAAAGAGUAAAUAAAAUAAACAAACAAGAGGGUGUCUGUGGAGUAAAAAGUGGGAUUUUAGUUGUGGCCCGCUAGAGUAGGUAAAGGCCCACACGCAUCCAAGCCUUCCAUCUGGUCUGGUCGGGUCCAAGGCCCAAAGCUGAUCCAGCUCAACGAAACCCUAACUGGAAACUAAACAAACAGACAAAAGGGAGAACCGGAGGUGGAUCCCUUCUAGCAUCUGCCACACGUUCAACUUAUGCAUGGGGAAUCACUUGUGAAUUAAUGCAAUAUUGGUAAUCAAUGCAUGACAGACAUGAGGCAAACCACACGUUACCACUUCCCAAAAUGCAGUGCACGAAACCCAACCUCUUAAAUGUUCAUAAUACCAAUUGAUAGCCACCAUUUAAACAAUAUAAAAGCCAUAGAGAAUAUAACUUUAUCUCUCUCACUCAAAGGGAUCUUAACUCGAGUUGUCUCUCCAUCUAUGCUUUUCCCUUCUUCUUUUCAAGACCCAACAGAAACUCACUAAAAAUCUAAACCUACAAUUUCUUGAUGAACACCAUGAAGGCAUUCAUCAAUUUUCCAGAAAUUAGCAAAAACGAUUCCCUUUAAGAAGAACAAAACCUAAACCCCUCUCAUAAAUCCAAAUAUAAACCCAGAAUUCCUAUAAGAACAAACAAAUUAGAGAUCUUCUACAACAAAACCUAACAGCAUAAUCAUAUCAAAAUCUAACAAGCCAACAAGCAAUUAAUCAUGAGGAAUGCACAAGCAAGUGUUCAACAUCAUAUUUCAAACAAGAAAUCAACAAAAAAUAGUGAAUAAGGCUUAGUUUUUCCGGCGAGGGUACCGUUAAUAAAUAUUGACCUCGCGCGAUCAGGGUCUCCCUUUAUAUAGAAUCAGGUGAGGUCUUAAAAAAUCGUCUGCAAAUUGCAUGCUGGCAAAAGCUCUAAUCCGUUAGAGAAGAUUUUCUCGAGAUAUGGUGGGGACCAAUACUCAUAUCUUUGAAAUUGUUGUGAGUCCUUUUGCAUUUUAGUCUGUAGUGAUGUAUUUUAGUCUGUUUAAAACUCGGGUGGUCCAACCCUCUUGGUAUGACGUCACCUUUUGAAUUCAGCAUUUGUUAUGUUAUAAUUGUGAACUCAUGUUGCAAUUUUGACAGUACUGGAUAGAUCCCUAGUAUUAAAAGAAAGCGUCAACAUCCACAAGCGUUCCCAUCAUGUGCAGAUUCUGAAUUCUCUAAGCAUUUUGCAUUUCGGGGCCACUAUUUCGAGCUGAUACUCCCUUGUUUUUGAGCUGAUACGCAGAUACUGAUUUUGUCGCUAUUGCAGGGCACUGAAAUGUAUUGAUGGAUUGGUUGAUUCCUGCAGGCCUGUUGGGAGCACUUGAUCUUCUACAAGACGGCGUGAUCUUCAUGGCCCGACAAGUCCAUAUUCACUUGAUCUAAUACACGGUUGUACGCAUGUUGGUUUGGCAAUGCGAUUAGAAAGCAAUUUGAAAACUCGGGAAUGGCUCCAAUGCAGGCUUGAUGUCAUUCCAUACAUAUUGCGGAAUUGUUGUUAACGACGAUACUACACUUGGGAGGAAAACUCAAUAUUUUUAUCAAUUGGGGCAUUUGGAUGGGAAACGGAAAGAGCGCGAGCAAAUUCUUCGAAACCAAGUAUCCCAUUAUGUUUUGUACCCAACAAGUCAAAUACCUGAUCGGUAAACAAACUGUCCUUUUUACUCGUCUUGAAUAAUGCCAAGUGAAACUCUUCCUUGUUGAUCAGUUCAUCGUCAAUCACAUCACUACUUAUAUCUUUUUUUUAAAAAGAGCUCGUAGAAUGCUUUGAUUUUACUUACACUGAAAACUAUCUCCUUCGCAAGGAUUUCAGGGUCUUCAAGACCAGUUGUCUACUUAAGGUCACAAUGUCGCAAUAGAGGCGUAAAUAAAAGCUUAGAUCUCUCUAUGCACUGUAACAUGAUAUUUCUUACAGCUCAAAAUCAAAGUAUUCCAUAGCUUUUAACCAUUUCCAAUAUCAGCUGGCCAAGUCACAUGAACGAUGAUUGACGAGGUAUGGGGUACAACUUCUCGCAAUAUUGAGGUCGAAUCAUCGUAGCUUGAGGAUUUUGUAGUAUGAUUCCGUUAUUAGUAGAAGCUCAGUUAGGAAUACUAGGAUAUUAUAAAUGAAUAUGUAUGAUUCAGGUGUUGUCGGUUUUUUUUCGGUUCUAUUUUCAUGGCUUUUGGCAUUGCAUUCGGUAUCUUAUACGUCAUGGUUUCAAUGUUACAAUGUACUGCUCUUGUUAUACUUUGUUGUAACUUUUUAAUCCAAUUUCCUACUAUGCUGCUCUUGGAAUGUA